rnacentral:rRNA from 1 species
AAUUUUGGACAAUGGGGGAGACCCUGAUCCAGCCAUGCCGCGUGUAGGAUGAAGGCCNNNGGGUUNUAAAGUACUUUUGGCAGNGAANAAAAGGUAUCUCCUAAUACGAGAUACUGCUGACGGUAUCUGCAGAAUAAGCACCGGCUAACUACGUGCCAGCAGCCGCGGUAAUACGUAGGGUGCAAGCGUUAAUCGGAAUUACUGGUCGUAAAGCAUGUGUAGGAGGUUCGGAAAGAAAGAUGUGAAAUCCCAGGGCUCAACCUUGGAACUGCAUUGUUAACUGCAGUGGUAGAGUAUGUCAGAGGGGGGUAGAAUUCCACGUGUAGCAGUGAAAUGAGUAGAUAUGUGGAGGAAUACCGAUGGCGAAGGCAGCCCCCUGGGAUAAUACUGACGCUCAGACACGAAAGCGUGGGGAGCAAACA